rnacentral:rRNA from 1 species
GGUUAAGCGACUAAGCGUACACGGUGGAUGCCCUGGCAGUCAGAGGCGAUGAAGGGCGUGCUAAUCUGCGAUAAGCGCCGGUAAGGUGAUAUGAACCGUUAUAACCGGCGAUACCCGAAUGGGGAAACCCAGUGUGAUUCGUCACACUAUCAUUAACUGAAUCCAUAGGUUAAUGAGGCGAACCGGG